UGUAGAGUAGAGUAGUCUAGUAGCUCGCAAAACUCAUAACCUUGAGGUCACGGGUUCAAAUCCCGUCUCUGCCA
rnacentral:tRNA from 1 species